rnacentral:rRNA from 1 species
UACGUAGGGUGCGAGCGUUGUCCGGAAUUAUUGGGCGUAAAGGGCUCGUAGGCGGUCUGUUGCGUCAGGAGUGAAAACUCGGGGCUUAACCCCGAGCCUGCUUCUGAUACGGGCAGACUAGAGGUAUGCAGGGGAGAACGGAAUUCCUGGUGUAGCGGUGAAAUGCGCAGAUAUCAGGAAGAACACCAACGGCGAAGGCAGCUCGCUAGGACGGUACUGACGCUGAGACGCGAAAGCGUGGGGAGCGAACAGG